GACGAACGCUGGCGGCGUGCUUAACACAUGCAAGUCGAACGGAAAGGCCCUGCUUUUGUGGGGUGCUCGAGUGGCGAACGGGUGAGUAACACGUGAGUAACCUGCCCUUGACUUUGGGAUAACUUCAGGAAACUGGGGCUAAUACCGGAUAGGAGCUCCUGCUGCAUGGUGGGGGUUGGAAAGUUUCGGCGGUUGGGGAUGGACUCGCGGCUUAUCAGCUUGUUGGUGGGGUAGUGGCUUACCAAGGCUUUGACGGGUAGCCGGCCUGAGAGGGUGACCGGCCACAUUGGGACUGAGAGACGGCCCAGACUCCUAUGGGAGGCAGCAGUGGGGAAUAUUGCACAGUGGGCGGAAGCCUGAUGCAGCAACGCCGCGUGCGGGAUGACGGCCUUCGGGUUGUAAACCGCUUUCGCCUGUGACGAAGCGUGAGUGACGGUAAUGGGUAAAGAAGCACCGGCUAACUACGUG
rnacentral:rRNA from 1 species